rnacentral:rRNA from 1 species
AGUGAACGCUGGCGGUAGGCCUAACACAUGCAAGUCGAACGGCAGCACAGUAAGAGCUUGCUCUUACGGGUGGCGAGUGGCGGACGGGUGAGGAAUACAUCGGAAUCUACUUUCUCGUGGGGGAUAACGUAGGGAAACUUACGCUAAUACCGCAUACGACCUACGGGUGAAAGCAGGGGAUCUUCGGACCUUGCGCGAUUGAAUGAGCCGAUGUCGGAUUAGCUAGUUGGCGGGGUAAAGGCCCACCAAGGCGACGAUCCGUAGCUGGCCUGAGAGGAUGAUCAGCCACACUGGAACUGAGACACGGUACAGACUCCUACGGGAGGCAGCAGUGGGGAAUAUUGGACAAUGGGCGCAAGCCUGAUCCAGCCAUACCGCGUGGGUGAAGAAGGCCUUCGGGUUGUAAAGCCCUUUUGUUGGGAAAGAAAAGCAGCAGGUUAAUACCCCGCUGUUCUGACGGUACCCAAAGAAUAAGCACCGGCUAACUUCGUG